ACGGGGGGGGCAAGCGUUGUUCGGAAUUACUGGGCGUAAAGGGCUCGUAGGUGGCCAAUUAAGUCAGACGUGAAAUCCCCAGGCUCAACUUGGGAACUGCGUCUGAUACUGGUUGGCUUGAAUUCGGGAGAGGGAUGCAGAAUUCCAGGUGUAGCGGUGAAAUGCGUAGAUAUCUGGAGGAAUACCGGUGGCGAAGGCGGCAUCCUGGACCGAGAUUGACACUGAUGAGCGAAAGCCAGGGGAGCAAACGGGAUUAGAAACCCCCGUAGUCC
rnacentral:rRNA from 1 species